rnacentral:rRNA from 1 species
UACGUAGGGAGCAAGCGUUGUCCGGAAUCAUUGGGCGUAAAGCGCGCGUAGGUGGCCUCAUAAGUCCGCUGUGAAAGUCAAAGGCUCAACCUUUGAAAGCCGGUGGAUACUGUGAGGCUAGAGUACGGAAGAGGCGAGUGGAAUUCCUGGUGUAGCGGUGGAAUGCGCAGAUAUCAGGAGGAACACCAAUAGCGAAGGCAGCUCGCUGGGACGUUACCGACACUGAGGCGCGAAAGCGUGGGGAGCGAACAGG